GGCAGCACAGAAGAGCUUGCUCUUCGGGUGGCGAGUGGCGGACGGGUGAGUAAUGUCUGGGAAACUGCCCGAUGGAGGGGGAUAACUACUGGAAACGGUAGCUAAUACCGCAUAACGUCGCNAGACCAAAGUGGGGGACCUUCGGGCCUCACACCAUCGGAUGUGCCCAGAUGGGAUUAGCUAGUAGGUGGGGUAACGGCUCACCUAGGCGACGAUCCCUAGCUGGUCUGAGAGGAUGACCAGCCACACUGGAACUGAGACACGGUCCAGACUCCUACGGGAGGCAGCAGUGGGGAAUAUUGCACAAUGGGCGCAAGCCUGAUGCAGCCAUGCCGCGUGUAUGAAGAAGGCCUUCGGGUUGUAAAGUACUUUCAGCGGGGAGGAAGGCGAUGNGGUUAAUAACCGCGUCGAUUGACGUUACCCGCAGAAGAAGCACCGGCUAACUCCGUGCCAGCAGCCGCGGUAAUACGGAGGGUGCAAGCGUUAAUCGGAAUUACUGGGCGUAAAGCGCACGCAGGCGGUCUGUCAAGUCGGAUGUGAAAUCCCCGGGCUUAACCUGGGAACUGCAUUCGAAACUGGCAGGCUAGAGUCUUGUAGAGGGGGGUAGAAUUCCAGGUGUAGCGGUGAAAUGCGUAGAGAUCUGGAGGAAUACCGGUGGCGAA
rnacentral:rRNA from 1 species